rnacentral:lncRNA from 1 species
CGGGCGGGGGUGGGGCGUGGGGGCGCGCCAGGGUUGCCACUUAAACAGGAUUUCCUAGUUCUCUGGACAACACAUCGAUGCCAUCAGGGGCGCAUUUAUUCCCCCAAUCUUAAAAACUCGUCGUUCAACACCCCGCAGGAGCCCCACGGAGCCACUGGGUGCGAAAGGCAUGAGGAAUUCCUUAUAUAGCCGCGGCCGCAGCAGCACAGGGCUGUGGCCGCCCAUCACCACACGCAGGUACCCGGGCGGGGGCAUCCCUCGGCCGCCGCCGCAGGGACUGUCCAGACAAUGACCAGGAGCAGAGGCUGUCCGCGCUGGAGCCGCGAGCACACACUCGCCUAAGAGAGGCACCAUCCAGCAACUCCCGCGUCUCCCUACGUUGGGAGAGCCCACGGGGCACCCACCGACACAAGUCGGGGUGUUUCAUUCUCUCCUAGUGCCUGUGGCUUUUUUUCCCUUUAAAACAAAACAAACAAAACAAAACAAAACAAAACAAAAAACCCACCACCAACAACAACAAAAAACUCUGUGGUCAGGCCGAGGAGUGUGUUUCCCUGGCACAUCCGCGGAAAUCAAUACCCCGCGCAGCUGCACCGCGAGCCGCAGCCCCGUGCGCUCGUCGGGCCGCCCGCCCCCUCCCCCACCCGCCCCACUCGCGACUGUGAGCGCCAGCCCAGCUCCAUUAUCUGUCCUCUGCUGGCGCAUUGGGCCCAGGUAACAACUUCCCCAAACCGAAAGAACCAAAGCGAGGCGCAUGCACACAGCCCCGUGCCCGCCCGGACUCGGCUGCCCGGGCGUCCCGACCUGUCUGUGCUAUUUCCCGGCCCGCAGGCGGCGAGUCCACGCACACACCCGCCCCGUGGCAGCAGCUAGGAGCCACUAGAGCGUGCCCGGCCCCCGACGGGCACCGCAGGCGCGGGGUUCCAGCCCCCUGGGCGCCGACUCACGCCGGCCCCGCGCGUCCCCAUCCCCGCCCGCCCGCGAGCGCGCGGGGCGCAACUUUCCCGCGGGCGCCCGACCGGGCGCGCAGCGCCCGCUCCCGCGCACACGCGCGCACGGCCGACACGCAGCCGACACGCAACCAGCCCGCGGCCGCCCGUCCUCUCCCGCCCGCGCCCGCCCCGCAGCCCGCGCCCGCCCGCCGCAAGUUUGUUCCCCGCCGCUGCGGCCUGCGCGGAGAGAGGAUCGCGCGCGGGGAGGCGCCGAGGGGCAGCAAGAGUGGAGAAAGUGCGGAAAGAAGCAACAGCCGCUCCACCCGCGGGCGGAAAAGUGGCCGGGCGCGGCGGCGGGAUGCGGCGCAGCUAACGGUCCCCGGCGGCCGCCGGAGCCGCUAGGCGCAGAGGCAGGCUGGCACCUGUGCAGUGGGAGAGAGUUCUUGUCACUGGUGACUCAUCGUGCAGGGAGCACAAGGAAGAGCAAGGGGAUAGUGUCUCACAAGUGUAGGGCUGGAGCUACAGGAACCAUCCAGGUGCACUGGCUUGGCCUCUGCAUCUUUCUGUGCCACUGUCUCAUUCUGUUUCCGGCUGUGCGUGGAUGCGGAUGGCCCAGAGAGAGAAAGAACACGGAGGAGAAGGUUAGAGACCUGCAGUUCCACCAAGCUCUUGCUUGGCUAUUAAUUGCAUCCAGCUAUGUUGGUGCUGUCAUAGUCCCACCUGGGGUCAUUGUUAAUAACACUCGUCAAGAACUGUGUGGGAACUUCUGCCUCCUUAAAGGGCUUUAGAACUCAUAUGAUAUGUACUCACUGAUAAGUGGAUAUUAGCCCAGAAACUUAGAAUAAAUACCCAAGAUACAAUUUCCAAGACAGAUGAAACUGAAGAAGAACGAAGACCAAAGUGUGGACACUUCGCCCCUUCUUAGAAUUGGGAAGAAAACACCCAUGGAAGGAGUUAGGGAGACAAAGUUUGGAGCUGAGGCGAAAUGAUGGACCAUCCAGAGACUGCCACACCCGGGGAUCCAUCCCAUAAUCAGCCACCAAACGCAGACACUAUUGCAUGCGCCAGCAAGAAUUUUUGAAAGGACCCUGAUAUAGCUGUCUCUUGUGAGGCUAUGCCAGUGCCUGGCAAACACAGAAGUGGAUGCUCACAGUCAGCUAUUGGAUGGAACACAGGGUCCCCAAUGGAGGAGCUAGAGAAAGUACCCAAGGAGCUGAAGGGGUCUGCAACCCUAUAGGUGGAACAACAAUAUGAACUAACCAGUACCCCCAGAGCUCGUGUCUCUAGCUGCAUAUGUAGAAGAAGAUGACCUAGUCGGCCAUCAUUGGGAAGAGAGGCCCCUUGGUCUUGCAAACUUUAUGCCCCAGUACAGGGGAAACACCAGAGCCAAGAAGUGGGAGUGAGUGGGUAGGGGAGCCGGGGGUGUAUAGGCAACUUUCAAGGUAGCAUUUGAAAUGUAAAUGAAGAAAAUUCCUAAUAAAAAUUGGAAAAAUAAAAAAUAAUAAUUAGGAAGCUAACCUAUUGUUAUAAAAGUGCAAUAGCAACAGUUUAAAGGGUGUUGUGUUCUUUGCUAAUUAGGAUCUCACUUGAUCUCCGUAACAGUACAAUGACUGGAAGAUCCCUUGGAAACUGCGGGUCUUAGGGGUUACUAAACCAAUCUGUCCAGCCUAGGGUGGUCAGGGAUGGGGACACAGUGUGCUGUUGGGUUGAGGUGACUGCAACCCUGGCCUUAACGGACAUCUAAACUAUUUAACCCAAAGUGAUUUGGGCUAGUUAUGGAAAGUGAAGUGUGUAACAGUGCUGACCAAGUGCAGACACCAUGUGAGAACUUGUCAUUUAGUGGCUUAGUGUCCUUUGCCUUGUUUAUUUCUCCUGAUCUCUGAAGAGCUGCCCAGGUGGAACAAGGCAAAUCAUACCUCAAGGUUAUUGAUAGGGAAGUAGAUAUUGUUAGCUUAGAAGGUAGAUAUCUGCCCAGCUCUGGUACUUUAAAGGCAUAUUAUAAAUAUAAAGGUUUUUUUUUAUCUUUUGUCUGGGAACUGAACAAUCAAAGGUGGGGUUAGAGAUUAUUACCACACUCGAUCCUCCAUUCUCCAUGAAAUACAUCCCUUCUAAACCUGGAGGACCCUAUCCUUGCUUGGCUUCUCUGACACUCUCAAGCAACUCCUUGUCAGGCCCUCUUAGUUGUUGACCUCCCUACACUGCAUGCCAGAGAGCCAGGCUCUGCCCCAGAUUCUUUACAGUUUCUCUCUCCACUUUGUUUUUCUGAUUCUCAUCUUCAUACCAGAGACUUAAUAUCUGCCUGCCAAUGAACUAUAUCUAAGGUCUUAAGAUGGUCGUCAGCACCUACAAUUGCCCCACCUUAGAUGAGAUACUCUUUCUUUCCUGUCCUUCACUCUUUCCUAGCUGCACCAGCCUUGUGUCAUUCCUUGAAAUGCCAGACACAUUCCUACCUUGGCACAGAAGCCUACUUCUAAAUCCAAAUUGGAAUGCUCUCAUGAAAAUGUGGUACAUUGAUCAAUACUAAUUUUUAAAUGCUCUUAUUAAAGGAAUUCAUAAUGUAA